rnacentral:rRNA from 1 species
AGUGAACGCUGGCGGUAGGCCUAACACAUGCAAGUCGAACGGCAGCACAGUAAGAGCUUGCUCUUACGGGUGGCGAGUGGCGGACGGGUGAGGAAUACAUCGGAAUCUACUUUUUCGUGGGGGAUAACGUAGGGAAACUUACGCUAAUACCGCAUACGACCUACGGGUGAAAGCAGGGGAUCUUCGGACCUUGCGCGAUUGAAUGAGCCGAUGUCGGAUUAGCUAGUUGGCGGGGUAAAGGCCCACCAAGGCGACGAUCCGCAGCUGGUCUGAGAGGAUGAUCGGCCACACUGGAACUGAGACACGGUCCAGACUCCUACGGGAGGCAGCAGUGGGGAAUAUUGGACAAUGGGCGAAAGCCUGAUCCAGCCAUACCGCGUGGGUGAAGAAGGCCUUCGGGUUGUAAAGCCCUUUUGUUGGGAAAGAACAGCAGCAGGUUAAUACCCCGCUGUUCUGACGGUACCCAAAGAAUAAGCACCGGCUAACUUCGUG